rnacentral:lncRNA from 1 species
AUAAUCUUUUGACUUCAGAUAAUAUCGAAUACAAGAGACGAUCCCCCUGUACCGCCCUAGAGUCUAACAGAUUUUGAUAGCAAGAGGAGGUCAUUUGCAGACAGAGUUGAUUCCGGGUGAGCCAGUGACUCCAUGGUAACUCGGAGAAAUGCAUCUGCAGAGAAACGAGCUGGUGUUGCCUCCUCACGGGCAGGCACAAAUGCUCAUGUCAGUCUAUUAGAACGUGAUAGAAGUACUGAUCACUGCCUCUGCAUCUAAAUCCUUUUGAAACCAGGAUGACCUGCUGAAGAGGAUUUUGAGUGGAAGGCCCGUCACAAGACUCUUUCAAAUCCACAUAAAUAAAGCCCUUUACUGGCUUAAAAUGGCCCCUCA